rfam:Callithrix jacchus chromosome 6, whole genome shotgun sequence
AUACUUAACCCAUCGGGGAGACACCAUGACCACAAGGUGGUUUUCUCAGGGUAGGGCUUAUCCAUUGCACUCCGGAUGUGCUGACCCCUGUGAUUUCCCCAAAUGUGGGAAACCUGACUGCAUAAUUUGUGGUAGUGGGGACUGCAUUCAUGCUCUCCCCUU